GGGUCAGUAGGUUGGUCGUGCCACCGGUACGUACUGGUCUCACUGAUUCCUCCUUCCUGAAGAACCGUAAUGCCAUUAAUUUGGUGUUGCGGGGAAACAGGACUGUUACUUUGAAAAAAUUAGAGUGUUUAAAGUAAGCUAACGCUUGAAUACAUUAGCAUGGAAUAAUGAAAUAGGACGAUCGAUCCUGUUUUGUUGGUUUCUAGGAUUGACGUA
rnacentral:rRNA from 1 species